rnacentral:rRNA from 1 species
AAUGUUUGACAAUGGGGGAGACCCUGAUCCAGCCAUCCCGCGUGUAUGAUGAAGGCCUNCGGGUUNUNAAGUACUUUUGGCAGAGNAGAAAAGGUAUCCCCUAAUACGGGAUACUGCUGACGGUAUCUGCAGAAUAAGCACCGGCUAACUACGUGCCAGCAGCCGCGGUAAUACGUAGGUUCCAAGCGUUAAUCGGAAUUACUGGGCGUAAGGCGUGUGUAGGCGGUUCGAAAAGAAAGAUGUGAAAUACCAGGGCUCAACCAUGGAACUGCAUUUUUAACUGACGAGCUAGAGUAUGUCAGAGGGGAGUAGAAUUCCACGUGUAGCAGUGAAAUGCGUAGAUAUGUGGAGGAAUACCGAUGGCGAAGGCAGCCCCCUGGGAUAAUACUGACGCUCAGACACGAAAGCGUGGGGAGCAAACAGG